rnacentral:rRNA from 1 species
UACGGAGGGGGCGAGCGUUGUUCGGAAUUACUGGGCGUAAAGGGCGCGUAGGCGGCCAUCUAAGUCAGACGUGAAAUCCCCCGGCUUAACCUGGGAACUGCGUCUGAUACUGGAAGGCUUGAGUAUGGGAGAGGGAUGUAGAAUUCCAGGUGAUAGCGGUGAAAUGCGUAGAUACCUGGAGGAAUACCGGUGGCCGAAGGCGGCAUCCUGGACCAUUACU